rnacentral:lncRNA from 1 species
AAGAAGAGAUGAAUGCUCUCUCCUGCCGUUGCAACCCAGAACAAUACUUUGUGAGCACAGAACAAGCAACGCACUUCAAUGCAUAUGCAGAUAUGCAUAGACCAUACAUGUUCUUGCUUCACUAAUAUCUGACCAAAUCAUUACAUUUGCUGAUAUGCAUAGACCAUACACUUUCGAGCGACGAUGUCAGCCUGCUGCCCAUCUCCUCAAUCCAUCUGUCGCCUUGCUUGCCUCCUCCUGUGUUGCCCCCUCCAGCGACGAAGACGGGACUCUAGCAGACGGACAGCGCUAGCAGACGCGACCCCCUCGUGGCACUGGUGGACGGACGGGAGAGGGGCGCGCCGACCCCUUCCUGACGCGGGCGCGCCGACCAGGGAGUCGAGCGACGCUCGCGGGCGCGCGAUGCGUCCUGCGCGCGCGACCCAGCAGGGCGCCGACCCGCGGGGGACGUGUGAUGCGAGCGGAGGGACCGCGAUGCGGUCAUGCUGCCCGCGCGCCUCCAGGAGCUCGAUGCGGAUGCGGAAUCGGUCCUGG